AUUCUGUUUGAGCAUUGUAGUAUCCUAGUUUAGUUUAGCUGAUUGUUUUAGUUUAGUUUUAGUUUGCAUUAGUACAGGUGCGUUUAGAUUAGAUUAGAUUAGAUUAGAUUCAGUUAAGGUUUAGAAAUACUGUGUACAUAGAGAAUUUUGAUAACCUGUUGCUCUGAGUUUUGUUUUUGUAAAGGUUGUUUCCAUUCUUCAGUUGCACUAUCUACUCCAGGAUCAUCUAACACAUUUCAGAAGAUCAUCACUGUUCAUUCCAGAACCCUGCCAGAGGUCCACAUCUUCAGCUGCCCAGUGUCCAUUCUGGGAACAUCCGACAGAUUUGAGGAGAUCAUCACUGUUUCCAGUGAUCCUCAACUCUAAACAAAAGUUUAAA